ensembl:lncRNA
GCCCGGCAUACCCUGUCCCCCAGGCCCCCAGCAUCCCUCCCCACAUUCCAAACCCAGUGAUCUGCUUGAUAGAAGAGGACGUGAUUCUUUUCCAGCUUCAGAUUCACCCUGACAAUGUUUCAGCUCCAGCAUUCUGAGACUCCUCCUGCAGCCCGUGGAGGUGUCAGACUUCUGUGCCUUGGGGGGAAUGGAUUUUGAGGAGAAAAAACAUGGGGCAGAGAGAUCGCCCAGCCAGUCACUACCCCGUGUACCAGAAGCAGCACCUGUUCAACAGCAACCCCCACUGGGACUUCGGGGCCUUCAGGAGGCUCAGCCACCUAGUGCGAGAGACUCAAGUCAACUUCUCCAGGUUUGUCCACCAGUUCUUAGAUCCGGGCACAUACGUGUUUCGAGACAACGCACUUCCCGAGAGCGUUGUGGUGGUGUCGGUGAAGGAGAAGGGGAUAGCCUGCGGCCCUGGCCUGUCCUCUGUGCAGCCCUCCUCCCCGUACCAGCUCUCCAGGCAUGGCAUCGUCAGGCACAGGCUGCCAACCCUGGGCCCAGACUGGGCCGUGAUCACAGGGGUGCUGCUGGCUGUCGGCUUGGCAACUGCGCUGCUGACAGGCCUGGGCCUUGUGCUGAGCCCCCCGCUGGCCCAGACCUGCCCAGUCAGAGCUUGGAGACUCCGGGGGAGGGGCCUCAGGGAGCCUCACGUGCCUGCUGACUGCGUGCCUCUCGGGGACAGCCUUACCGUCCGUGAAGACCUCGGUCCUCAGGGCUCUGGGGAAGGAGCCAGCUGCAGGCAGAGAGCCGUUCCCCGGGACACAGGGGAGCCACACCCUGUGAACACCCUAGAGGACUUCAGCGUCCGCACACUCUAUGACAAGCUUGAGGACCAGAGCCUGCACUUGGUGGCCCAGCUGAGCAAGCACAGGAGCGACGCACUGGCCUUCUACAGGGGCGCCAGCCAGCAACUCCAGGGGCUCAAGGACUUUCUGCAGGGCGUCAGCAUGACCGAGCGGCAAGAUCUGGGCAGAGGUGGAGACCUGGAGAUGGGAGCCAAAGCCACUGCCAGGACAGACACUGGGCAGAGAGAGGAAUGGUGCAGUGGUCACACUGCAGCUUCUCCAAGGGUGCGCUGGCAGCAUCCUCUAGGCGGCACCCCCAGCAUGUCUCCACUGGGCUUUCAGUCGAAGCUCGACAGAAUGAUUGCGGCCCUGGCAUCUGCACUUUCUCACGCACGUGGGCAACCAGCCAGGGCCCACAGGAAGGCCUCCGCUCAGGGGGGUGAACAGCCUCUUCCCUCCUGUCAACAAGACCCUCAACUGGUGAGUGACACGCUCCUGAAGCCCCGGCCUCAGCCCUCGGAUGAGGAGCAUCAAAGUGCAAGCCCCCAGAAGACCCCAGGACCUGGACGGCUCCGUCAGGGUGAUGCCAAAGGAGGGGACACUGAGAGCCCAGUUUCCGGACACAGGCACGGAGCCUUUCCUGAGCUGCAGAGAAAGAUAUGGCAGGUGGAAGACAUCUUGGACGAACUGAAUAAAGAGUUCUUCCAGCUCACUGCUCAAGCCCUAGAGCUCCAGAAAGAAGAGCACCAGCCAGACCACCUGCCCCCAAGGAAACACAGUACAUUUGCGGUGGUUCCCAGCAUCUUCCCUCAUGCAGAGCAGGAAGACAGACCUAACCCAGCAGAGGCAGGCGGCCCAGACAGAAAGAGUGUGGGAACCUGGGCCCUGAAGAGCGAGCAGGCCCUGAUCCUGGCGGUGAGGAGAGCCUGCCUGGCUCAGAGGAUCGAAGGCCUGGACUGGGAGCUGUCCCUGCUCCUCCAGGUGGCAGAGGGCAGCACGUGUGCAGGAUGGAGCCAGCCCAGCCUGGGGAGACGCUGAGUCACCCAGGGUGCUGCGGCGGUCAUCUGUGGCAGUGCCUUCUCCACAAAGAACAUGGCCAGGUUACUCUGCGCACUCCAGGCAGGAAGACGUGGGCGUCGCAGGGGCCGCCCUGGCUGGGAAUGUGAGCUCGGUUAUGGCAUGCUCCUAUCUGGUAACACCCAGGUUUCUUUCAGAGCCUGGACCUCGGCUUGUGCUGAUUGCUAUCUGUGAUCCUUUGGGGUGAGGGAAAAUAAAGUCACACAGGUUGAGAAUAUCAA